CAAUCCACAGAAAAUCAUCCAAUAACAUUGUAUAAAAGCAAUGAACCAAAGGAAGCACUCACAAGAGAAGCAAAGUCAGCAAACAGAACCUCUAUUCAAGUAUACUUGGAUUUUCCUAACGAGCAUGUCAACCACUGUUAACGAUAUAAAAGACUCAUUCACUACCAUCCAAUUUUCAUUAAAACAGAACCAUCAACAUAUUUGAAAUGGACAUACAGUUGAUGAAUCAGUUAGUAACACAGCGCACUCAAAUGAAUGUGU
rnacentral:lncRNA from 1 species